ACGAACGCUGGCGGCGUGCUUAACCCAUGCACGUCGAACGGAAAGGCCCUGCUUUUGUGGGGUGCUCGAGUGGCGAACGGGUGAGUAACACGUGAGUAACCUGCCCUUGACUUUGGGAUAACUUCAGGAAACUGGGGCUAAUACCGGAUAGGAGCUCCUGCUGCAUGGUGGGGGUUGGAAAGUUUCGGCGGUUGGGGAUGGACUCGCGGCUUAUCAGCUUGUUGGUGGGGUAGUGGCUUACCAAGGCUUUGACGGGUAGCCGGCCUGAGAGGGUGACCGGCCACAUUGGGACUGAGAUACGGCCCAGACUCCUACGGGAGGCAGCAGUGGGGAAUAUUGCACAAUGGGCGGAAGCCUGAUGCAGCAACGCCGCGUGCGGGAUGAAGGCCUUCGGGUUGUAAACCGCUUUCGCCUGUGACGAAGCGUGAGUGACGGUAAUGGGUAAAGAAGCACCGGCUAACUACGUG
rnacentral:rRNA from 1 species